UACGUUUCAAUUGCUAACCUCCAGCUCUCGUGUACCAGGGAAAAGGGGAUCCAUGGAGAUGAGGAACUAAGGUGGAGAUGCGGCGAGACGGAGAACUAAGGUGAAGAUGCGGUGAGGCGGAGGAGGAGUGCGCAGGAAGGGCGGCUUCAUGCUCAUGGCGGACUGGAUCCAGCGAGGGGUAGGCCGGAUCCGUCGGCUGGCGACGCAAGGAGCUCAAGGCGGAGCUCGAGCGCCAUGGGAGUUAAGUAGGAAAAGGAGAGAGCGACGGGGUUGUGGGUACAUGCGCACACUCGUGGACGCAGACGAACGGCUCCAGCAGGACACGUGGCGCACGGCAGCGACGACGGCUCUCCUUAGGAGGAUCUCGGGCGUUGAGAGGUUGAGUUGUCCACUGCACCAAGGACAGAGCCCACCGACUGCUCGUCAUGGGCCAUCACCACCACGCCUUCGACAGGAUCCGACCUCCACCACUCCAGCAAGCAGGAGCAUCAUGGUUUGUACUAUUAAUUAGGAUGAACUUGGGUGGCGAGGAUGAUUUGGAAAAUUAUAUAUCCUGACCAGAUAAAAUCCGUGCUACCGAUCUAAGUUGAUUUUCUUAUACAAAGGGAGCUUCAAUAUGUUAGUUGAUUUGGAAGAUUAUUUCUCUAGACCGGAUAAAAUCAGUGCUGCUGAUAUGUCUUCAGACCGGAUAAAAUCAGUGUUGCUGAUGUGAGUGCCUUUCCAUUAUGCUGAACAUUCUUUGUCAUUUGUUCUACUUAAGCAGAAGAAAUUUCAUUGUGUCGGCUUAAUUAGAAAAUUAUAAUGAUUCUUUAAAUCCUUUACUCUUAAAAGUUUAUCACAGUAAAUGUACCUUCAACUCACCAUACAUUUGUUUCAUAUAUAUUGACACCUAUAAUAGCAGUAGCAAUGCGUGAUUAUGACAUGUUAUGUAAUUGCUUGUGUAAAUUAGGCACCCUUUUCUGCCUCCUCCUUUUGUUAUUCACCGUGUCAAUAUUUUUUAAAUUGCUUCUACAUGCCAAGAAGUUGGCAUGCAUGUUGUCUACAAAAAUUGGUAUGUUAUCCCCCAAGAAUUCGAGAAGGGUUACAGAAGCAACGUCCAGAAGAUUUAGACCGACUUUGACUUCUACAAAUGACGCAACAAACUAUUAAGAGGAUGCUUUAUUUCCUACGGGUGACAAUUAUUAACACUAGAGUUGAAUCUGUGGACAGUCGCCUCUCACAGUAAUAUUCUUGUAUAUUGGUGCUCCUGUAAUUUGCACAUUCAGUAUCAUCGGCGUUAUUAAGCUACUUGCCUGUACAAUUCCACGAGCUCGAGUGUCAUGGGAGUUACUUCCCUGCAAGAGAGAAGAAUUCCAAAAGGGAGAGAGCAUAGAAGAAGGAAAAGGAUAGGGCGGUGUGGCCGUGGGUACAUGCGCGCACUAAAGGAUGCAGGCGAACGGCUCGGGCAGGACCGCAGGAGACGUGGCGCACGGCAACGGCUCUCCUCAGGAGGAGCUCAGGCGUUGAGAGAGGUUUGAUAUUUGAGAUGUAGUGCUACGUGUUUGCUCUCCAUUUUUGUAGGGAUCAGAAUUUCAGAAUACACUUGUUGAUUGUUUUACUGUCAA
rnacentral:rRNA from 1 species